GGGGUUGUAGCUUGGUGGUAGAGCACUUGCCUGGCAUGUGUGAGGCACUGGGUUCAAUUCUCAGCACCA
rnacentral:tRNA from 1 species